GUGGAAUAUACUGCAUGUAUGCUUACAUCUCUUGAAUGUAGGCCGAUUUCAAUAUCGAGCAGACAAACGACACUAGGAGGUUGAGAAGGACAGGGACAUGCGACCGACAGCAGAUAAGAGCAAUAAAAUGUGUGAUCCAUUAUGCAGAUAUAAAUUGUUACAAGAAGGGGGCAUGACAUAACAUAAACAAUAUCAAGAUAAAAGAAAAAAAGGACUAAUUUUAAGAGAUUGAUAGAUUCUAGAAUGAGAGUCAUAAACAAUUGAAUCACAGAAAUUUCUCACCUUUUUCCACAUAGAAGAGAUUGUCCAAAUAUGAAGUAGAUUAGAUUGACCAACUGUUGUUGGCAAAACUGUUCUUGCUCAUGAGCAAUGGGUGUGGU
rnacentral:lncRNA from 1 species